UAUCAACAUAUAUCGUUAAUUUGAAUUUUUUAUCAACAAAUCAGACAUUUGGUUGGACUUUGUAAGACCAUGUUUUUUAAUGAACAAUUGAGGUGGAGAUUUAUUCUCUGUUUCAUUACAUACUUCAUCGUAUUCUUCUUCUUCCGGUAUCAAGUCCUUGAUUAUUAAUAUCGUUGGAAGUCGAUCUGUAAAUUUAAAUAUCAUA